rnacentral:misc_RNA from 1 species
GAUGAAGAACGCAGCGAAAUGCGAUAAGUAAUGCGAAUUGCAGAAUUCAGUGAAUCAUCGAAUCUUUGAACGCACAUUGCGCCCCCUGGUAUUCCGGGGGGCAUGCCUGUUCGAGCGUCAUUUCACCACUCAAGCCUCGCUUGGUAUUGGGCAACGCGGUCCGCCGCGUGCCUCAAAUCGUCCGGCUGGGUCUUCUGUCCCCUAAGCGUUGUGGAAACUAUUCGCUAAAGGGUGUUCGGGAGGCUACGCCGUAAAACAACCCCAUUUCUAAGGUUGACCUCGGAUCAGGUAGGGAUACCCGCUGAACUUAAGCAUAUCAAUAAGCGGAGGA